rnacentral:rRNA from 1 species
GACGAACGCUGGCGGCGUGCUUAACACAUGCAAGUCGAACGGAAAGGCCCUGCUUUUGUGGGGUUCUCGAGUGGCGAACGGGUACGUAACACGUGAGUAACCUACCCUUGACUUUGGGAGAACUUCAUGAAACUGGGGCUAAUACCGGAUAGGAGCUCCUGCUGCGUGGUGGGGGUUGGAAAGUUUCGGCGGUUGGGGAUGGACUAGCGGCUCAUCAGCUUGUUGGUGGGGUAGUGGCUUACCAAGGCUUUGACGGGUAGCCGGCCUGAGAGGGUGACCGGCCACAUUGGGACUGAGAUACGGCCCAGACUCCUACGGGAGGCAGCAGUGGGGAAUAUUGCACAAUGGGCGGAAGCCUGAUGCAGCAACGCCGCGUGCGGGAUGACGGCCUUCGGGUUGUAAACCGCUUUCGCCUGUGACGAAGCGUGAGUGACGGUAAUGGGUAAAGAAGCACCGGCUAACUACGUG